GUGAGUCUUAUCUCUGAAGAACUGCAUUCUGGGUAUGAAGAUGCUGAUGAGGUUCUCUCAGAAGAGAUGGUGAAGGAAAUUACACUGGGAUACUAUGAUGAUGUCAUCACUGUUGGACUGAAACCAGAUCGUGGGACAGAAGACACACCUGAGAGCUAUGAUGAUGUCAUGAUAUAUCAGAACGCUGAUAUUAAAAAAG